rnacentral:rRNA from 1 species
GACGAACGCUGGCGGCGUGCCUAAUACAUGCAAGUUGAGCGAUGAAGAUUGGUGCUUGCACCUAUUUGAAGAGCAGCGAACGGGUGAGUAACGCGUGGGGAAUCUGCCUUUGAGCGGGGGACAACAUUUGGAAACGAGUGCUAAUACCGCAUAACAACUUUAAACAUAUGUUUUAAGUUUGAAAGAUGCAAUUGCAUCACUCAAAGAUGAUCCCGCGUUGUAUUAGCUAGUUGGUGAGGUAAAGGCUCACCAAGGCGACGAUACGUAGCCGACCUGAGAGGGUGAUCGGCGACGAUGGAACUGAGACGCGGUCCAGAAUGCUCCGGGAGGCAGCAGUAGGGAAGGUUCAGCAAUGGGCGAAAGCCUGACGGAGAAACGCGGGGUGAGUGAUGAAGGUGUUCGGAUCGUAAAACUCUGUUAUUAGGGAAGAACAAAUGUGUAAGUAACUGUGCACGUCUUGACGGUACCUAAUCAGAAAGCCACGGCUAACUACGUG